UACGGGAGGCAGCAGUGAGGAAUAUUGGUCAAUGGGCGUAGGCCUGAACCAGCCAAGUAGCGUGCAGGAAGACUGCCCUAUGGGUUGUAAACUGCUUUUAUCAGGGGAUAAAGUGGGAAACGUGUUUUCCAUUGCAGGUACCUGAUGAAUAAGGACCGGCUAACUACGUGCCAGCAGCCGCGGUAAU
rnacentral:rRNA from 1 species